GAGCGAGGUGUACGGACCUCGCUGGCGUGGAUGAUGCCACGCUGUUCACGGGUGAACAGUAAUUCACCAGUAGAGACCCCUCCCUGAACGGUUGAGUGAGGCUCCCCUAACGAGUAAGUUAGGGGGAAGGCGAUUAGGGUGCCAUAAAGCUCUAAACUCUUGUGGAGACAUCUGCAUGUUUUAAAGGAAUAUUCCCCCAUUUACCAGUAAGUAAAGGGUGUGGCAAGGCUGUCAGUAUGGAACAGUAGUUCAGUUCUAAGGGAUUACCUCCUCCUCCCCAGGGAGAAACGUGUGAAAAAGUAUGGACCACAACGCACCAAGUGCAUCAAUAUAUGGGUUAAAACUUUUGCAGCUCUACAAUAUUAAAAAGGACUGAGGAAGCAACAAAAGAGAAAAAUAGGAAAAAAGACAAUGGAUGACAGGUAUGUGAAAAACUAACUGACUGAUGACAAUACUUCUGUUUGUGCAAAAUCUGAACCAUGUACUAAACUUUUUUCUCUGCCUCUUACACACACACACACACACACACACACAUACACAUGGGGAUUUGAGCGCUCCCUGGACAUUAGACACCUGCCCUCCCCACGGCUUCUCUCCACCAGAGACGCUUCUUCGGCAUGACCUGAAAGGGAGAGGUCCUGCCUGCCUGCUGCAGAUGACAGCGUGAGAGUUUCCACCAGAGCAAAACUCAAAAGAAGUCUGGUAAAAAGCCCAAAACCCAUUGAGAUGGGAAACAACCCACACUGUUUGCCAGAGCCAGAAGAGCGUUACUCUGGACUCAUCUUGAGAGCACAUCUUAUGCAGGCAGAGGAGAAACAAGCUGGAGCAAAGUUUUCCCACCCUUCUGAAGAAGUUAAAGUGGACAAGGAAAGAGCAAAUGUCCACCAACAGGCCAGGGGAAGGCCUGGGUUUUUGGACUGAUAGGGGACUGUAUGCCACAACUGUCCGACUCUGGAGCAGUCAAGAAACUGAGGAGGCAAAAUGUUCCAGAGUAAUGGGUUCAGCUGAACACAUCUUCCCUGGCAAAAACCUGUACAAUGAGAAUGGAAAGAUUUAUUUUUGGUUCUGAAGAAAGCUGGCAUCAGUGUCUAAAGCAGUGGUCCUCAACCUGUGGUUCCUGGACACCUGAGGCCCGUGAGCCAUAGAUUGUGGGUCAGUGAAGAAAAUUUAAUAAAUCAAUAAAGGUUAAAGAUAUGCCAUUUAACUGAACAGAGUACAUUCAAAUAAAAAAAAAUAACCCAAAAUACUACACUUAUUAAAUAAAAGAUCUAAGCCAAUGAUGGGUUCUGGCUUUAAAAUCUAUUAAUACUCAAAUUAGGUUUCUACUCUGGGGAACACAGAUUGAGGCUGAAGGUUGUUUUGGAGCCAGGGUUAGGAUUCAGGAAAUUAAAACUCAUAGUGACUAAAGUCCUUUAUAACAGAAUAAAGGCAGAAGUAAUUAGGGUUCAGGAAUUAAAAUCCUAGGAAAGACCUUUAUGGGGCAUAAAUGCAGGUAAAAUCCUUUAUUUUAGGGAUAAAUAAAGGCUCCUCUUUUAACAUUAAAGAGAAAGAGCGGCUCAAACUUCAGUCUCCGCCCCAGGGAGAAAUAUUUGAUUUCAUGACAACUUGGAUGAGAUUGAAAAUGUUCAAAUAAAGGUUUCAUUUUUGGGGACUUAUAGGGUAAAAGAAUAAUUAAAUCCUUCACUACCUAGGAGUAACAAACAAAUUUCAAAUUAGUACAAAAUAUAUUUUUAAAUUAGCACAAAAGAUCAUUUCAAAUUACCAAUAUUUCAAAUAAUGGAACAUUUUCUAGCAUUUGAAUUAUAACAGAGGAGUCCUGAGAAUAACUUUCUUCCAAAACUUACAAAACUUUAAUAACCCGAUUCAAAGUUUAUUAUGUCCAGUCCCUUUUGAAGCACUAUAAUGAAAUAAAAUCUAGUUUGGGAUUAAACUUAAUUGCUAAUUUUUCUGUUUAAGUUUUAACACUGCAGUGUUUGUGUUUGUUUAGUGUCUAGGUAAAACCAUAAAAUGUCAAUGCCAGCCUAAAAAUAAUUGUCUGCAUUUAACCUAAGCAGAGAAUUCUGAAAUAUAGCUGUGAUCAAAUUAAACUUAACAAAAAGAGAAAUUUAACAGCAACUCUGCUGUCAUUACAAUGUUUAAAGUAUGAAGAAUUAGCAAAGAGUUUCAGCAGCAAAGCAUUUGGAUUCAUGUAAGAGAAGACUGCUGCUGUGCUUCUAAAUUAUUUGAAAUCUCUUUGAAUGGUGUGCACUUAUCUUUAAACAGGAUCCUGAUUAUUAUCAAUCAACGCAUCUGGAGAUAUGCUAAGAAAAACAUUUUUGAAAAGAGAUUGUUGAAAAUGUCUUUAAAUUACUGACGCUUCUGUUGUGAUUAUGAAUCUGAGACUAUCAUUUAAUAUU